rnacentral:rRNA from 1 species
UGGCGGCACUAGCGCGGUGGUCCCACCCUGACCCCAUGCCGAACUCAGAAGUGAAACGCCGUAGCGCCGAUGGUAGUGUGGGGUCUCCCCAUGCGAGAGUAGGGAACUGCCAGGCA